rnacentral:rRNA from 14 species
GGUACGCGAGCUGGGUUUAGAACGUCGUGAGACAGUUCGGUCCCUAUCCUCUGCGCGCGUUGGAAAUUUGAGAAGGUCUGUCCUUAGUACGAGAGGACCGGGACGGACGAACCUCUGGUAUGUCAGUUGUACCGCCAGGUGCAUGGCUGAUUAGCUACGUUCGGGAUGGAUAACCGCUGAAAGCAUCUAAGCGGGAAGCCCACCUCAAGA